ensembl:lncRNA
CACAGACUUUACUCUGAAUAAACGGGCACUGCUCUGUGUUUAACUGCUGUGACACACGUCCCUUCGAUGGCACACCCUUAACACACACAGGCACGGUCACGUGCUUCUCCUCGAUGCAUGAAGACUCACUGCAGUCCUCACACCAACAUCCCCUCCUCGGCACACUCAGGUGUGUUGUUGUGGGAGAAGAUAAGCAGGCUGACGGCUGAUAACAUCACUACUGUCAUGCAGAUGAGCACUCAGCUGUUGUGUGUAAAGAACAGGUGGGCGUUUGUGUGCACACUCAUGUGAGAGGGUGAUGGGGACUGAGGGCCUUUGUCGUGUCAAGGAAGUCAAUUGUCAGGAGGCACUGAAGCAGAAUCCGUCCUGUUAAUUGCUGGAGCAAUGAGAAGCACGUUUGACCGAACAGUGGAUUUACACUCGUAGUUCUCAAAGUACCCAGAAGAGGUCUCAGCUCAACAGAAGUGAUCUUGAGUGAGAGCUCCCGCCAACUGAAGCCACAAAGGCGAAGUGAGAAGAGAAACAACAACAGAGAAAAAAC